rnacentral:rRNA from 1 species
UCAGGACGAACGCUGGCGGCGUGCCUAACACAUGCAAGUCGAGCGAGUAAAUCUCCUUCGGGAGUGAAGCUAGCGGCGGACGGGUGAGUAACACGUGGGCAACCUGCCUCAUAGAGGGGAAUAGCCUUCCGAAAGGAAGAUUAAUACCGCAUAAGAUUGUAGCUUCGCAUGAAGUAGCAAUUAAAGGAGCAAUCCGCUAUGAGAUGGGCCCGCGGCGCAUUAGCUAGUUGGUGAGGUAACGGCUCACCAAGGCGACGAUGCGUAGCCGACCUGAGAGGGUGAUCGGCCACAUUGGGACUGAGACACGGCCCAGACUCCUACGGGAGGCAGCAGUGGGGAAUAUUGCACAAUGGGGGAAACCCUGAUGCAGCAACGCCGCGUGAGUGAUGACGGCCUUCGGGUUGUAAAGCUCUGUCUUCAGGGACGAUAAUGACGGUACCUGAGGAGGAAGCCACGGCUAACUACGUG